CUGGCCCGGAGGGGGUGGGUCACUCAGGAAAGGGGCUUGUGGCCAGACGGGAGCUAGUGGGGGCUGGCAGCACUGUGUUGGUAGUGCCUCAGGUCAGUCUCUGGAGGCAGGCACAUCUGAGUUCCAGGUCCCUGUCAUCGUGGGGAAAUCUCAGAACUCGUUUCCUCAUUGAAAGAGCUGAUGGUAAUUCCCACCUCUGGAUUGCUGAGCGGCCUGAGAAAACAAGGAGCCCCUCUGGCAAAUGGUGCGAGUGGAAUAAGCAAGUCCAUAUUCAGCCUCCAUCUCAAUACUUUCUGCAACUCUGGGCCGUAUACCUCAUUUUACAAAAGCAGGGGGAAAAAAAGGAAGAAAAUCGAUAUCUUGAAGUUUGCAACCAAUAAAAUCUCAGAAGUGGCAAUUUCAUCCUGA